GCAUCCAGUCUAGGAGAAGAAGACGCGGAUGACUGUAUGUCCUUCACCUUCCAUACCUUAUGGGUUUUCUUGGGUUUUGUAGCUGGAGGUGCAGCUGGUUUCUUCUUGGGUUUUGGGGUCUGCUUUUUCCAUAACCCCAGCCUCUUGUCCAUUCUUUGCUCUACUUUCUUCAUGAAUGCUUUCAUGAAUGGGAUGAGGCUGUUCGUCUUGUGAGAUGUCACUUCGAAUUCUUCGAUGCCUUGUGGAUUCGGC
rnacentral:lncRNA from 1 species